GAUGAAGAACGUAGCGAAAUGCGAUAAGUAAUGUGAAUUGCAGAAUUCAGUGAAUCAUCGAAUCUUUGAACGCACAUUGCGCCCCUUGGUAUUCCGAGGGGCAUGCCUGUUCGAGCGUCAGUAUAACCCCUCAAGCUCAGCUUGGUGUUGGGGCCUGCUGCACUGGCAGCCCUUAAAAUCAGUGGCGGCGCCAUCUGGCUCUAAGCGUAGUAAUUCUUCUCGCUAUGGAGUCCUGGUGGAUGCUUGCCAUCAACCCCCAAUUUUUCUAUGGUUGACCUCGGAUCAGGUAGGGAUACCCGCUGAACUUAAGCAUAUCAAUAAGCGGAGGA
rnacentral:misc_RNA from 1 species